CACUGAAUAGCUCAGUUGGUUAGAGUGUGGUGCUGAUAAUAGCAAGGUUGCAGGUUCAAUCCUCAUAUGGGACAGUGA